AGCUCGUGUCGUGAGAUGUUCGGUUAAGUCCGCUUAACGAGCGCAACCCUCGCUGUGUGUUACAAGUGUCACACGGAACUGCCGGUCAUAACCGGAGGAAGGUGGGGAUGACGUCAAGUCAGCAUGGCCUUUAUAUCCUGGGCUACACACACGCUACAAUGGGAAGGGACAAUAGGUUGCGAAGCCGCGAGGCGGAGCCAAUCCAGCAAAACUUCCCUCAGUUCAGAUUGCAGGCUGCAACUCGCCUGCAUGAAGUUGGAGUUGCUAGUAAACGCAGGUCAGCCAUACUGCGUUGAAUACGUUCCCGGGGCUU
rnacentral:rRNA from 1 species